CCCGCCCGCUCCCGAGGCUCUAGGGCGGCCUCCUGGCCGCUGCCUUCUCGGACCCAGGGUCUUCGGCCUGGGCUCCACACCUCAGGCCCCUCAAGUAAUUGGCCUCUUGGUGGCCGGGCACUGCCUUUCCGGCUGCUCUCUGCACCCGUCUGCCCCUCCGGCCUCCCCUGGCGGCUACAGGCGUCCGGGGCCCUCGCUCCCCAGCUCCAGGCGUCCCGGGAGCCAGGCGCGCAGCGGGGCGAGUUCUUGUGUCCGUGUGAGCGCGGACGUGUGUAUGCGUGCGCGUGCACGAGCGUGAGUGUGCGUGAGCGUGAGUUUGAGUGUGCGUGAGGGUGUGAAUGUGUACAUGUACACGAAUGUGAGUGUGAGUGUGCAUGAGCGUGAGCGUGCGUGUGCGUGCGAGUGUGCACGAGCGUGACUGUGAGUGUGCGUGCGUGGAAGCGCGGCGGGGAGCCUGGCUGAAGGCCUGCUGCCUGCAUGGCUGUCAGAGAAAAACAGAAGUGGGAGCCUGCUGCGGGCUCCGAGAGGACUUGAUGGGAGCCCUGGCGCGCGCUGGGCACCGCGCGGUGGGCCCAGCCCAGUUAUGAACAUGUUGAGACCUAGGAGGCCAAGAGGACCCACCUAAAACCCUCCCCCGUUAAGGGCUGAUGUGGUACCCCUGCAAACCCACUCCCUCGGGGCAGGAGAUGCCUUCUCUGCAGAGUCCUGUUUCUGAAAUCUGUGCAGUGUGUCCAGCCCUAGCAGCACGAGAUCAAAUUUUCCUUAGAUAUCAACCAAAUGGCUUUCCUCGGAAGCUCAGGGGCGACCCACAGAGCGAGGGAGGGCCUUCUCCUGCCACCUCACCAGCGCAGUCAGAACUGAUAUUUCUAUGAGAUGCCAGGCGUUUUGCUGCUGUCUUUGGUGACAACGAUGGAAAUGCCAUUUUGCACAGACCGGGAGAACAAUAUUGCCAAGAAUAUCUGGAUGGAUGGAGGUGGCCGGCAAAUCGUCAGAAGCAACUCAGACAGUCCAGAGGAGGAUGGCGCAGAGCCAGAGGAGGCACAGGGAGGCGGCAGGCAGAUCUGAGAGGCAUCACCAAGGCAGCACUAAGGAAGGAGGGUAGGGACAGUGACUGCCUCGGGCUGCUGCAGCUCAGGAGGCCGAAUGAUGCCCUUCACCAAGCAACACACGAUUGUAGGUUUAAUUAUUUUCAAAAGACUUCGCCCUGCUCUGUAGGAUUAGCGGCUCGAUUGGCAUUCUGCCUGCUUCACAGAUGUGCCAGCCGAGGCUUGGACAAAUGCAGUAAUUUGCCUGUGAUCUUGUAGCUAGCAAGGGCUGAAACCAGAACUAGGGCCUCUGCUCCAAACUGAGCACUGUUUUGACUGUUCCACAGCUACUUCCCAGGACCCCACAGAACAGCCAAUGCAGGGAACUGUGCCCCCAUCCGCUUCCUUUGGGACUGCCUUCCUCUGUCCCCUUGGUGCUCAGGGCCCUACGUUUUGCCUCUGUUGGGGCCGGCUGCUGACUGGCACUGCCUGGUGCCCUCCUGGCUCCUCCCACAGUUUCCCAGACCCCGGAGGUCCCAGCACUCACACUGCGGGGCCGACAAACAGCAGGUGUCCUUGCGUCUGACUAAAAUGACAUCCACUUAGUGUGGUGACAUUGGUUAUUCUGGGUUGCCCAGAUGCUUAGCUCGUUGUUGAAUGUGAGAACUGGGGAGAACUAAUUUCUUCUUAAUUCAUGUCCUCUUUGUUAGUGGAACAAUUUCAUUUCAAAAUGAAAACACACUUGGGAGAAAUUUUUAAAAAGGGAUUCUAGUAGUGAAGAGAUGGAGAACAGCUGUUCAGGAAUCUUUAUUCCUUUCCACUCUGCCCCAGCUCCCUGGAUCCUACCCCAGCACCCCAGGCCAUUUAAUCACUCUGUUCCCUGCCCUUUCUGAGCUCUUCCUUCCUUAAUUGCUCAUAACUAGCAUCUCAACACUUCAUGAUUGUCUCCCAGAUAUGGGUUGGGGUUGUCAUCCAGUGGGAACCUGGGUUUUCUAGCUGGUGAAGACACUCCUGCAGGCAUGAACCUUGUUUUGGUUUGGUUGUUACUCUCCGUUUCCGCAUACCCUCCACAGUGCUUGAGACAUAAUAGUAGCUCAACAGAGGGGGUGCCGUGGCUCACGCCUGUAAUCCCAGUACCUUGGGAGGCCAAGGUGGGCAGAUCGCUUGAGUGCAAGAGUUCAAGAUCAGACUGGACAACAUAAUGAAACCUCAUGUCUACCACAAAAAAAAAAAAAAAAAAAAAAAAUAGCUGGGUAUGGUGGCACACACCUGCAGUCCCAGCUACUCGGGAGGCUGAGACAAGAGGAUCGCUUGAGCCCAGGAGGUUGAGGCUGCAGUGAGCCAUGAUGGCGCCACUGCACCCCAACCUGAGCAGCAGAGCAAGACCCUGUCUCACACACACACAAAAAGUAGCUCAAUAAAUGCAUGACUGGAUCUCACCUGAGGAGGGAAGAGUGAAGCGAAAGGCGAUGAAUUGGAAUCACCCUGGCGGCCUCUUUAAACCAGACACCCUCAAUCUGUACUUACACACAUUGGCACCCACAAGGGGAGCUGACUGAAGGCUGCAACGUGAGUAGCAAUACAGUGGUGACGGCCACCGAUUAUGAAAUAGGACACAGGGAUACAGCGGAAACACUCCCCAUGGAUAGGGCAUGUGGUGAGAGGCUCUUCUCAGAGUCACAUUCUGCUGGAGCUGGCUCCUGGCUCACACGAGCCGGCCGUGCACAUCUCUCUAGCGCCUGGUUCAGACUCUUCUCUUCUGAGGCUGGAAGUUGGCCUUGGUGGGGGCAGCUCGUGGGGUGCCCCAGAGCCGGUUAGUGACCGUGGCCCCGCACAGCCUGCUUGGUCUCCUGCUGUGUUACCAGGGAAUGGGUUCUUGAGCAGCAAUUGUGCCCCCGUGGCAAAGGGAAGCGAACACAGACUUUGAGGGUUUGCUUUUUAAACACUUGAGGUCUCAUAAGGCCUUAGUCCAGAUGUAAGCAGAAAACCUGGGUCUCCAUGGCCUCAGACCAGCCAGCUCCCAAGCCCAAACCUCACCUUUAACAUGGCACAGAAUCUUACAAAACUCUUCCCAAGAUAUCAGUAAUAAUAGGUCAUGUUGAUGUGGCUCUUAAGAUGGGCCAAGCUCUAGUGCAAAGAACUUUCUAUGCAUUAAUCAUUUAAUCCUUUCGAAAACCCUAUUGGGUGGGUAACAGUGUUUCCCUCCAAGUUGAGGAAACCGAGUGCUACAAGCUGAAUUGUGUGUCCCUAAAUGCUAUGUGGAAGUCCUCACCCCAGAACCUCAGGGCGUGGCCUUAUUCAGAAGCAGUGUCCUUGCUGAUGGAAUGAGUUAGGCUGAGGUCAGGCUGGAGUGGGCAGGGGCUACUCCAAUAUGACUGUGUCUUUCUGUGUCCGAAUUGGUGGGUUAUUGGUCUCACUGACUUCAAGAAUGAAGCCGCGGACCCUCGCGGUGAGUGUUACAGUUCUUAAAGGCGGCGUGUCCGGAGUUUGUUCCUUCUGAUGUUCGGAUGUGUUCAGAGUUUCUUCCUUCUGGUGGGUUCGUGGUCUCGCUGGCUCAGUAGUGAAGCUGCAGACCUUAGCGUGAGUGUUACAGCUCUUAAGGCAGAGCGUCUGGAGUUGUUCGUUCCUCCUGGUGGGCUCGUGGUCUCACUGGCUUCAGGAGUGAAGCUGCAGACCUUCGUAGUGAGUGUUACAGCUCAUAAAGGCAGUGUGGACCCAAAGAGUGAGCAGCAGCAAGAUUUAUUGCAAAGAGAGAAAGAACAAAGCCUCCACAGUUUGGAAGGGGACUGCAGCGGGUUGCAACUGCUGGCUCGGGCAGCCUGCCUUUAUUCUCUUAUCUGGCCCCACCCACAUAGUGCUGAUUGGUAGAGCCGAGUGGUCUGUUUUGACAGGGCGCUGAUUGGUGCGUUUACAAUCCCUGAGAUAGACACAAAGGUUCUCCAAGUUCCCACCAGACUCAGGAGCCCAGCUGGCUUCACCCAGUGGAUCUUGCACUGGGGCUGCAGGUGGAGCUGCUUGCCAGUCCCGUGCUGUGCGCCUGCACUCCUCAGCCCUUGGGUGGUCGAUGGGACUGGGCGCCAUGGAGCAGGGGGCAGUGUUCGUUGGGAAGGCUCGGGCUGCACAGGAGCCCACGGAGGCGGGGG